UGGGAAAAUGAACCAAUGCCAAUUUCACGUUAGAAUUUCCUUGCUGAAGCAGUAAAAUUAAUUUUUAAAACUCUCAACCCUUGGGUACAAUACAUUUUCCAUAUUCCGUGUGACUCAUAAUGUACUCCUGCUGUUGCUGACGGGCAGUGGUCGGUCAGAGCAGAAGCUCAGCUGUGAUUGCUGGGGGAGUUCUGAGCUCCAUGAGCCACUCUGGCCACGACACCAUCUUUACUUGAAAGAAAAACUGACAGACAAAUGGCAUUUAAUUGGAUUUAGGUAUCUGGCAGAUAUUUCCCAGAAAAGGAACAAACUGAGCCUCUUACUUCCAGAAACAGCUGACAUUAUUUAUUGCCAAUGGUAUACAUUUGAGCUUUUAAGCAAAAAUCAGAAUUUUGAAAAACUUUCUCCUAUCACCAUGACAACUUCCUCAUAAUGAGUUUUCUGAUGAGAUGGAUGGUGAUAUUAAGUGAUUUUUUGAUACUAUAUAAUGUAAUGUGUCAAAAAUUUGAAUUUCUGCAGAACUCUGUGAACCAACAUUUUUCAAGUGAACAUUCAUUUUUCCAUGAAAAACCACAUGUUCAAAGUGAGAGAGAACAGCGGAUUUAACUGCCACAGAGCCCAAAAGUCUAUUCAUGAGGCUUCAGAUUCCAUGUUAUAACCAGCCUUUAAGAAGCUACCACUUGUUGAGUUUUGGUGUAGUAGCAAAGAAUGUUCAUAGUUAGUUAGCUGAAAAAGGUACUAAAAUCCUUUUCCCUGUUUCAACUAUAAAAUGCGUGAGGCCAGAUUUUCUUGAUACAGUUCAACUGAAACAACACAUUUCCAUAGACUACAUCGGAAGCAGACGCAAGGUCCCUAGCUGUCUUCUAUUAAGCCAGACACUGACAGGAUUUGUGAAAAUGUACAACAAUGCUACUCUCUCAGUAAAUUAUUUUUUCAUUUUGGAAGAUGCUUAUCUUCAUAAAAUUAUUUAUGAUAACAUGCAAUGGAUUUAUAUGUUAUUUUUAAUGAAUUAUACAUGUUAUAAAUUUCUCACUUUUAAUUUCCAGUAGAGUAAAUAUCAAUAGACAUUGUUAUACAAAAAGCCUCUUUGGGGUCGGUACUUGUUAAGAGCGUAAAGGGGUCUCCAGUAAUGCAUUUGAGGCCUGCUAGUCCAGGCUGGUCUUGAGCUGCCCUUGAAAUCUUUGAAAAUGGAGCUGUGAUUUUUUUUUUCUUGCAAAACUGGGAGCUGGGCUGGCUCCAGCCGGCUUGCUUUUUGAGGAGUGACCAUUUCUGCACCAUUUGCUCUACAGGCAGCCACUGGGGAGAAUGCCUGCUGCGUUGCGUCUGCGUUUCACACCAGGCCGUUGGGGAGAGAUUGUGAGCGCCUUCAGGUCAGGAUUGGGGUCUUUGCAUCAAUGGCUGGAGCCUCAGCGCCCACUCCACACAGUAACAGCUCAGGAAAGGCCUGCUGGUUGAUCCCAAAUCCACGUAGAACGGUUCCAACUGCAGCGGGGAAGAUGGGCUGGUUUAAAAUAAAAAACCAGGUAUUGUUUCACUGGUGCCAGAACACCCAGCUCUUCCUGGUAUUAUGGGGUCUGCAGACCAGGUGGACCCCGGGAAUAGGCAGGGGCUAUAGUCGCAUUUUCAGAAGGUGAUCUGGAGCCAUGGAAAAUGCCCUACUCUCUGGCAGUUCUACCAGCCACCCUCAGACCACAGCUUCCCUGAAGGCCUGUGUGGUCAGGUUUUUCCUUUGUGUUAAUUUCCAGGCCGGGAGCUGACUAACUGCACAGGUCUACCCACAGCCACAUGAGAUGAAGUCAGGUGCAACGAUAUUUUCCCUAAGUGACUAGAGUUAGUGCCACAAGCAAACGAAUGAAUUCCCAGGAAGCUCAUCUUCUCACAUUGGUCCACAACAAGCCGACAUCAAAAACAAGCAUCUGAUCCAAGGAGAAGAGGGUCCACGACUCUACCAGCCAGAAUGUAGCGGCUUCCAGGGUGACCGUGGGUAUUGAGGGUGCGUGCGAGGGUGGGAGCAGCCAGUACCAGGUGCAGGCAGUAGGGGGUGCACUAUCUGUGGCGAAUUUAGGAAUCAUAACCGACUAGAAGUCAGUUUGCUUAUUACCACCGUGUGCCGGUAUCUCUGAACAAAGUCAGCAAUAACAUAUUCCUCCUCCGAAAAUCUGUUGUUGAUUGAAGUUUAAAAAAUUGCUGUGGCUACGGUUGCGUUUUAAUCACACAAACAAAAGCUUCAAAUUCGCAUAUCGUUGUUACUUAUCCUGAAAGUAACAUUACAUGGACGUUAGCAAUGACCCGACACAAAAUCUACUACCCACAUUCCUUCUGAGAAUCGCUCUGACAGUCAGAUCCUGUGGGCUGGCUCUGGGCACAGUCGGGGCCUCCAGGGCCCAUGAUUUCCUACCUCCCGGUGUCGAAACAGAGGACCCAAAAUAAAACACGAGAGUGCGGGAUGGUCAAAACGAAGACGCGGAACCUGCGUUCCUUCACUUCCCUCAUUCCAUGUGAACACUUGGAGUUACUGUGUCCAAAAUGCUUUUGUUCUGCAGACAUCUGAAAGCCACAAGAAUCCACCCUGAAGAACUGAACACACAGUGGGUGUUGUGAUUGCUGGAAUUUACUGUGAAAUGGGAUUUUUAAGAAUCUCUGCCAAAUGAUACCGUAUUAAAGACUUUUCCUAAGUAUCUGUGUAUCUGUUGCCUCACGAGAUUGGAGCUCUUCAAAAUCAAAGUUAACAGAUAGUAUUCUUGGACCAACUAUGAGUGAAGACAGCUGGCAACUCUGCCUACUGAACAUACAUUAGUAAAGAAGAUCAAUUUAAAUGAAACCAUUGUCAAACGUGUAGAUGCUAAGACCCAAAGCCAGAAACAAACAUUCAUUCCACCAUCUAUUACCCCAAGAGACCCAUAGGGAGGCAUGUUUUUUCUAUUAAAAAAAAACAAAAAACCCUUUUUAUGAUUAGUGUCAUUUUCUGCUUAGUUCUAAACAGUUUUGUGGUUUAGAGGAGGGAUGGGAACUGCUCAUCCUCUCCAGGUAUGAAAUAAACUAGGCGUGCUAGAGAGCGCGGCGAGCUGCACCAGCGCCACCCUGAACAGCAGCUGACACUAGGGCUCAGUGUCAGGAAGGCAGCAGCAAGUGGUGGGGCCUACCGCAAACCAAACUGGAGAAUGGGUGACACCAGGGGCAGGCCCACUGGCUGCAGGGGAAUGCUGCCAGGCGGGAACAGAACGCCAGCACUGGCAGACCUUCUGAGUGCACAAAAGGCCGGAAAUCCAGGCUUUGAUGAGAAUCCUUCCUGGUUUCAAAUAUUGGUAGCUAAUUCAAAUUUUAAAAAUGCCAGGCCUCCGUGAGCCUUGCAGGCUGCUAGUUUGCAGUGUCUGCUGCGGAUGCACUCCCUGCUCCUUCCAGACCUCCUGAGGUAUGUACUUCCCAGUCUGCUCCCUCCCUGUCCUUCCCAGCCCAGGCCUGAGCACAGAGGCUGCUCACACGGUGUGUAGGAUGAAUGGAUGGAGAUGGUGCGGAGGAGGGCAGGGCUUGCUGGGGCGGGCAGACUCGGCCACGACGGGGGCUCCACAAGCACCUGUCCUCCUGGGAUGGCAGGACAGAAAGCCGUACCACGGGACAGGCUUCUAGGGCCACCGCACCGGGAUGUUCCCGGGUGACUCGCUUCUGUGCCGUGCCCAGAUUCCCCUCGCUCUUGGGGGUCACGUGCCUUUGGAGGGUCUUGUGUGGCCACUCUGAGCGUUUUCUCAGUGGGGACCAUGGGCAGACUCAGAGACACAGGCGUCCCCUUGCCCUUCUCUUCUCGGGACAAAGCCCCCAAGCAGCAAGCCCUGCCUCCCUGGCCCUGCUUGCCAUUUCUUCCGUCAUUUCCGGGGCUGCUCUUGGGCCCUGGCCAGGCUUUUGUUUCCAGACCCUUCUGAAGGGUGGGCAUGAAACCCAGGGAGCCACGUGAAGCUGUCGCCUCAGCACAUGGGAACCCGCCCUGCGCACUCUCCCCGAACCCACCCCAACCCAGAACCCCCAGAAACCUCGCCGCCCCCCACCCCAUGACACCUCUCAGAGGGCUGGCUGGACCCAAACUGGGCCCCUCCCCCCCCCCCAGGGCACCCUGGAGAGCCUGC
rnacentral:lncRNA from 1 species